CAGACCAAGUCUGUUACUUCAUCUCUGCUUGGCUGGAAAUGUCGCUGUGGUCUGAUUGCGCUCCUGGAAAUAUCAGACAUGGCUUGCAUUGGAGGAUGCUGGACCCAGAGGCAACAAUUUGUUGGGGAGCUGGUGUACAUGACUCUGUGCUGUGCCAUGUUCCUGACCUCUUAGACAAGACUGCUCUUAGCUGCUAUCCCUGACCAUGGAAACAAUGGAAUUUGGAGUGCCAGUGCACUGAGGAUGAAGGAAAGAAUGGCAGAAUGAGACCAAAGCUCCUUGCUUGUUUUUUGUUGUUGGUUCUUUGUAUUUCCCUGCCCCCCCCCCCCCCCCCCCCACCCCAUUUAAAAUCAAGACCAUUUGGAAAUUUUUGGCUGCUACAGGGAUCCUUGCACUGCACCCAGGGCUGAGUGCCAUCUGUGAAGGGUGACAUAAGUUGGUAGGGCAGACUCUAGUGCAAGAAGGAGAAUCCAAGGGGUAGAGAGGGCUGUGGUCACCAUUAACACUGAGAUGGAGAGGGUGAUACAACUCUGCCAUUUGAAUAUCAGACUCUAAAUGCUGAGGCUCUUCGUGGAUUGGACUAGAUAAAAAGUGGUGCUAAACCAGCAAAGUUUUGUGAUGAUUCACUGCCAAGUGCCAACCAAGCCACUGAGCUGAGCCUGUUUGACAGGAGAAGCAACCAUGCAGUAGUGAAGAAUCGCACAGGUGCCAGAAAUCACAGUAGGUGGGAUUUUAUUUGUUAGUUCAGUGUUUUUACUUAAAGAGGCCUAAAGCAGCUAUACAUUUGACUGCACUGACCCUCAGGGAAAUCUUGGGGGAUGAGUCCUGCUCCCAACCUCAUGCUCAGGAGAGGAAAGAGGAUGCUGAAGUCAAAACCUUGCAUCCUGUUUCUCCCUGCUGUGUGACCCAGUUCCUUCCUGGGCUGUUCUCAAGCUCUGGACCUCUGGCUUUAAUGUUAAACAAGUAAUGACUUUUCACAAAUAUGUACCCUCUCCAGCAUGAAAGUUAUCAUCUUUUCCUUCCUCUACUUUCUAUCUAAACUGUGAAGACUGUAGAGUUAACAAUCCACAUUUCUAGUAUGCUUACCCAAUACAAGGAAGUGGUUGAAAGAUUGCCUCAAAAAUAUUUUUCUGUGUUGAAUUUGUGACUUAAACAGAAAGAAAGUUUCCAGCUGGAGAAAAAUGGUCUGCUUCCUUUCCUUUAGAAAUGUCUAAGUAUAUUUGUCAACUUGAAAACUGAAGUAUCUUAGCCAUAACAUCCUUGCUAAAAGACAGUAUUCCACUUUGAAAUGCUCUCAUAGUGUGUAGUGGGAGAUGCUGGCUUCAUGUGCCUGUGCAGCUCUGGUGUAGGUGCUGUGCUCAGCACACAUGGAAUCAUAUGUUUGUAGAAAUAACAGGAGAAGAAGUCUUCAUCUAAUGGGUCACCUAGCCCAUGCCACUGCCCUAAAGCAAGAUUAAUUGCACUCUUCCUCUUCCUCACAUGUAUUUAUCGAUCUGUUUCUAAGAAUCUGCAACAAUGACAGCUUCAAACAGCCUUAGGCUAUAUUUGCCAUUAUUUGUUUAAUUAUGGCUAUUGGAGAUUUUUGUUUCCCUCAUAUUAUUUUGAAG
rnacentral:lncRNA from 1 species